UCCAUUAUAAUAACUGAAGAUAGAACUGCUUGUGAGGCAAAUCAUGUUAUCUUCAGUGACAAUGAAAAGUGAAAAUUCAUUAUGAAUAUCAGGUUUUACAUUCCAAAAUGUUAUUCUCCGGCUGAGUGAUUCAGUAGAUUUUUUGUCAGUGAAGUGAUAGACCAAUGGAGCACAUUGGUUUUGAAGAUAAUUUUUUAAAAAUAAAUAGAAGUUUUAAUAUCUUGGAAUAUUGUUCGAGAAAAGAUAAAUAAAUAAACUCGAUUGAUUCCAGUGCUUUAAAGCAAAAAGCACAUGACAACAACGGAUAAGUCGUCUAUAUUCUUUUCAUAUGGAAGAGAAGCAGAAGUAUUGCAGCUCCCGAAGAAAGUCUGACUCAAAAGGGAUCCUUAGCUCCUUUCUUGCACAAGGAUCCUCUCGUUGCAUGCAAUACGCUGCUCAACACAUAGCAACGGUACCACAAAAAGCAGAGUUGGACACCGGAGCUACAUUCAAGAAAUCGUAUCUUUGUUUAAAUAUGUUUUUAUUUAUUGGUACUGUAUAUAUUAUAUCAGAUUUAUUUUUCAGUCGCGGAAGAUUGACUGAGUCUGGAGAAUUUUGGCCAUAAGUAUAAUUAUAAUAAAUUGGUAAAAAAUC